CUAUGACGGUAGAACCCGUUGCCAACCACCGCCCCUUCUCGCUUUUUCUCACUGUCGUCUCGCAUCGGGCCGAACAUCGCCGUGACCUUCUCUAGUUUUCUCACCCUUCUCGACCGCAACCUGAAGCAAAAGCCACCAGUGUCGCCGGGCCUCCUCUUCUGAAGAAUCGCCGCAAGUCAUCGCUGGUAGCUUCACUCUCCCUGCCUCGAUGACAUAGGGCAGCCACCGUUCGCCUCUCCCCGAAUUCUUAUAAGGAAAAGGGCAGAUUCUCC
rnacentral:lncRNA from 1 species